AUGGGAGGCAUAUUCGGCGGUGGCAGAGGAUCCCGCGGCAGUGCUGGCGGCCAUGGUUCCUGUAGCCAGAAGGAGCUGCCCACAGAACCCCCCUACACAGCCUAUGUAGGAAACCUUCCUUUCAACACAGUUCAGGGUGACAUAAAAGCUAUCUUUAAGGAUCUCAGCAUAAAGAGCGUAUGGCUAGUCAGAGACAAAGACACAGACAAGUUUAAAGGAUUCUGCUAUGUAGAAUUCGAUGAGGUUGACUCCCUAAAGGAAGCCCUGACCUACCAUGGUGCACUAUUGGGUGACCGGUCACUUCGUGUGGACAUUGCAGAAGGCAGAAAACAAGAUAAAGGUGGCUUUGGAUUCAGGAAAGGCGGACCAGAUGACAAAGGUUACAGGGAUGACUUCCUAGGAGGCCGAGGAGGCAGUCACCCAGAGGACCAACGAGCAGGCCUUCCCACGGGGAGUCGCUUCCAAGACGGACCCCCGCUGCACAGCUCCAACAUGGACUUCCAAGAACCCAUGGAAGAAGAAAGAGCACAGAGACCAUGGCUCCAGCUCAAACCUUGGACAGUGGCAAUAACCCUCAACCAAGUAGCCAACCCCAAAUCCAUCAUCUUUGAGGGAGCCAGGCCCAGAAAGGAAGUCGUGAACAAGGAGCAGGAAUGAGCAUGCAGCGGGAAUGGGGCGUGGGGAGUUAGAGCGAGACCACAGCCAACGGCCUGGACCGGCCACCCCACAGACACCGUUCCUGUACCUGACACUGUCCUCCUUCCUUACAGUGCAAACACUGAGCUUGUGAAUGCAUGUCAGCUGUUAACAAGUGGUUUUUAGUACAUCCUUGGCUUUGCUGUACCUAGCUAGUGCCUGUUUUGUGCUCUUUAUUUUUUUCCUUCUCUGUCCUCAUCUUCUAUCUGUUCUCCCUGUUGCCCCCGUGUCUGCAGCACGCAGUGUCUGAAGGAGGCGUGAAGCCUGCCCUGUGAGAGGCACAGGCCCAGGUGGUGCUGGCUUUGGUGCUUCUCCUUUGCCUUCUCUUUAUUUUCCACAUGGGCCAGACUUGGUUUUUCUCAGUGCUUCUUUUCUGACCCGCAUGCUGAGUUCUGUGUCGCUGUGGCUUCCAGGAAAGAGCAGAAGUUGCUGGCAAGUUGGCCAGCUGUGGUCGAUAUGCCAAAUUGGAUGCACCUUGUAUUGAAAAUGAGGGAAAAUUCCUGCUGAUCCUUGCCUCCUUCCACCCUUAUGGUCCUGCUCCUAGGGUGUCCUGUCACCAUCAGCCCUCC